CAGCUGGCUGACAGAGCCAAGAGGAGGCAGCUACACUUCAGUGUCAGUGCUUCCCGUAGUGGAGCUGCAAACUCUGGAGCACCUCUGACUGGGGCAGCCAAGCCCAGGAAAGUCAUCAGCUAAACAGGGCUCCCACGUCAUCUUCUACCCAAAGACUUCAAGAUGCAAGAAUGAAAUACAGUGAAAGUGUUUAUGGUGUUCAAGAAGGUUCUGUCCAGCCCCAGGUCCAG